rnacentral:rRNA from 1 species
GACGAACGCUGGCGGCGUGCCUAACACAUGCAAGUCGAGCGGAGUCGAUCGACGGAAGCCUUCGGGCGGAAGAUGGUUGACUUAGCGGCGGAUGGGUGAGUAACGCGUGGGCAACCUGCCUCGAAGACCGGGAUAACAGCCCGAAAGGGCUGCUAAUACCGGAUGUGGUCAAGGAUCCGCAUGGAUUUUUGAUUAAAGGGGAAACCCGUUUCGAGAUGGGCCCGCGUCCUAUCAGCUAGUUGGUGAGGUAAAAGCUCACCAAGGCGACGACGGGUAGCCGGCCUGAGAGGGUGACCGGCCACACUGGAACUGAGACACGGUCCAGACUCCUACGGGGGGCAGCAGUGGGGAAUCUUCCACAAUGGGCGAAAGCCUGAUGGAGCGACGCCGCGUGAGCGAAGAAGGCCUCGGUUGUAAGCUCUGUCUGGAGGGACGAAGGAAGUGACGGUACCUCCGGAGGAAGCCACGGCUAACUACGUG